UACGUAGGGUGCAGGCGUUAAUCGGAAUUACUGGGCGUAAAGCGUGCGCAGGCGGUUUGCUAAGACAGGUGUGAAAUCCCCGGGCUCAACCUGGGAACUGCAUUUGUGACUGCAUCGCUGGAGUACGGCAGAGGGGGAUGGAAUUCCGCGUGUAGCAGUGAAAUGCGUAGAUAUGCGGAGGAACACCGAUGGCGAAGGCAACCCCCUGGGCCUGUACUGACGCUCAUGCACGAAAGCGUGGGGAGCAAACAGG
rnacentral:rRNA from 1 species